CCUAAAUUUUAAUUUUAAAUCUAUGCUAGCAACAAAUUUUGCAGAACCGUACUAGAUUCCAGCGCUAUGCUAGGCUUACAUUCUUGUCGAUUUCAGUUCUAUGCUAAGCCUGUACCUUUGCCAAAUGGCUGUAGCGGAGAAAUCAGGUUGAUUUAUAGUAUUUAUAGUAACAUCUGGAGGUAAAUCCAGUAACGUUUCUGUGAAAUACAUGCCUUUGGCUCAAAGCUCCGGGACUCAUUCUCAGGUAAACUGUUAUUUAACAGCUCGUUUUAAACCCCAACAAAUAUUUCAGUGAGAAUAUCACGGUACUAUCGUCUCAAUAUGAUAACCAGUAGCAUCGACGCUACGAAAAACAUCCGUUCUUGUAGCGAGGGCGUGAGUCGAGAUGAUUUAUAAAGGCGCGAGCGGGAGAAAAUCCCUACUCAGGAGUACGAAUAAAAUCUCGCCAUUCUCUAAAGGGAGUCGAAACUCCCCUUUCACGCUUUCUCAUGCUGACGUACAUCCAGACUGACACCGAGAAUUUGUCUCAGAAAGACGAAGCUCACGUUCUAUUCGACCGCAAAGAGAUGUCGAUAUGAAAUAAAUGAGAGGAAGAAGGAGCCUUAGAGCUUUUUCCAUCAGAGCAGAAAGAAAAUGAGCGGCUCUAUUGUCACGCUAUCGCUACUGUUAAAAUGGAAGUGUGUGUGUGUGUGUGUGUGUGUGUGCAUCAUCUUGAUUUGAAAAAUCAAUGAGAGCCAACACACAGUAACCCAUAAAGCCAUAGUACACUGAUAUGUGUCUAGUGGGAGCGCUGCAAUAAACUCCAGGCUCCUAAUUUUACCGCGUAGAAGCUGCUCAGAUCAUCAAAACAGCCGAGGAUAAAUCCGUACAUAAACCAGAGCUGUGACCCUGCAACCAGAGACGGAGGAAAGAACAGAAUCGGCGAAGGACGUGCGAGUUCUACCGCUCAUUCGAGCCUCGAGGUGUGGCUCCACUGGAGGAACCUGUACAGGAACCCAGGAACUACGCACGUGCUUCCACUGGAGGAACCAUUCCCAGGAACCUUUGUACUGUAGGUUCUACUGCUGCUCCGGAAGUAGUAGUACUUCUCUGCGGAUUCUGGAUUCUGAUUGGUCCGAAGGUGUUGAUUGAUUUUCUGACUGAACAGUAGCUCCAUGUACCGGUUUCUAUCACGGCGCUUGUUCUAAAACGCAACCGUUUCCAUAGCGACAGCUCGUUCGCAGAGACGCGUCCGGCUGACGUUCUCCACGUGAACGGAUUUUUUUUAAAAAUGUGCGGGAUUUGUUGAUUCGUUGGAGACUUUUUUAAAGGAACACUCCUGGAAGGAGUCUCCAGUUUCGGCUCUUUGUAACAGUCAAGAGGUGAAGCUGUGACGUAAAGUUUCGGGACAUCUUCAGGACAGAGGAGCUUACGCUU
ensembl:lncRNA